GGACAUGGCAUGGAACGUGUGUGCGGAAAAGUUCGAACAUCAAGUGACCCUUGAAGCGCUACAACACUUAAAUGCACUCUUUCAGGAGUAUGAGAAAAGAGGAAGACAGCUGUUGGAUAUGGAGACUUUCAAAUGCAUAAUGAAGCAGAGCAUGAGGUUACAGAAUAAAAGUACUGAACAAAUAGAACAACUUUUCAUGAAAAUAGACUAUGAAGCAGUGGGCAGAAUUCAUUGGGAUGGCUUCUGCACAUAUCUGCAGUUAGCAUAUUCAGAGCAAGCUGAUGCUUUGGCUCGACAGAAAGAGGUUUCCUUCCAGCUGCCUGCUGUGCUGCAGGGACUGUCGUACGGGGGACCCGUGCUGCGCAUUCUCUCUGUGCCUGAUGACACCUUAAUCAUGAUCAGAGAAGAUGGAGCCAUUUAUUUCUGGUCCCUGCAGCUGAAGUUGAAAAGAAGAAAGCGAGUUUUUGACAAGCCCAUCAUUCGGAAGCGCCGGUGGGUGACGGAUGCCACCAGCAUGCCACAGUACAACAAACUGAUCCUAGGAACUGGAAACCGCGAAAUCCAGCUGUAUGAGUUCUCUAACUUGGAGCCUUACUGUCAGAUUGGUGGCCUGGAAGCUGUCCCUCUGAAACUGGACUACUGGUACGAGGAUCCUGACAAGUGCCUGAUUCUCUAUGGUGAUGACCAGGCUGAAAAAAAACUUAAAAUGAAGGUAGCCUUAAAGAGUUCAUGUUGCCAUCUAGCAAAGUGAUGAGUUGUGCUCCAGAGGGAAAUAAGUUCAGAAGCAUUGGCUGUGCCUGUCUCACCUAACAUCGCCUCACCAUCCUUCAUCGGCUUUCAGAGUCUUCACGGUUUGGAAUCAGGGAUGAGCAUAAGGGAAGCUACAUUGGCAACAUGGCGACAAAAGCAAGGGAAACUCAGUUCAUCAUCAUCAUAUCACAAAGGCUGUCUCCACGAGCGACUUUCCUUGGGCUUCUUCUUUUGUUGCAUCUAGCCCAGGCUUGUGCACUUGAAGAUCAUUUGAUAAUAUUCAUCAGUGUUAUGUUCAGCAUGCUAACCGGUUUCUUAAGAAGGGCAGUA
rnacentral:lncRNA from 1 species